GAGCAGCCUGGUAGCUCGUCGGGCUCAUAACCCGAAGGUCGUCGGUUCAAAUCCGGCCCCCGCAACCA
rnacentral:tRNA from 5 species